GAUGAACGCUGGCGGCGUGCCUAAACCAUGAAAGUCGUGCGAACAGAUCUGGAGCUUGCCCCUCUGACGGUUGCGGCCGUCGGGAGAGUAAAACGUGGUCCUCCUACCUCUAAGACUGGGAUAACUUAGGGUUAGCGGCGCCACUACCCGAAAAUAUCUAGAACCUCAUUGUUCAAUAGUGAAAGACGGGUUUGCUGUUACUUACAGCUGUAUCCGCGCCGCGUUGGCUAGUCGGCAACGAACCGGCCUAACAAGGCCACGAUGCGUAGCCGACCUGAGAGGGUGAUCGGCCACACUGGAAGUGAGACACGGUCCAGACUCCUAAGGGAGGCAGCAGUAGGGAAUCGUACGCAAUGGGCGAAAGCCUGACGGAGCAACGCCGCGUGAGUGAUGAAGGUCUUCAGAUCGUAAAAAUCUGUUAUUAGGGAAGAACAAAUGUGUAAGUAACUAUGCACGUCUUGACGGUACCUAAUCAGAAAGCCACGGCUAACUACGUG
rnacentral:rRNA from 1 species